UACGAAGGGGGCUAGCGUUGCUCGGAAUUACUGGGCGUAAAGCGCACGUAGGCGGUCUUUUAAGUCGGGGGUGAAAUCCUGGAGCUCAACUCCAGAACUGCCUUCGAUACUGGAAGACUUGAGUCCGGGAGAGGUGAGUGGAACUGCGAGUGUAGAGGUGAAAUUCGUAGAUAUUCGCAAGAACACCAGUGGCGAAGGCGGCUCACUGGUCCGGUACUGACGCUGCAGUGCAACGAAGGCAAUGGGGAGUCAAA
rnacentral:rRNA from 1 species